AAGGAUCUCUAGGUUGGAGAAACUCUCUGGGGAUCAUCUCAAAUCACUAAACUUUCCAAGGUGGAGAAGCUGGGUCUCUACAACCCAUUCACUCUCUCCGGCAACAUCAUGGUUAACAACGUGGAGGCUCCCUCUCACAGCGAGUGGUUCCUGGACUCCCUCUUUGAUGCCAUUGGCGCAACUGAGUACCUCCCAUAUGCAUACCACGCCAUGCUCGCUCCACUUCGCGCCAUCUACAACAUCGUCGGCAAGGAAAUCUAUGGAAAGGGUUAUGCUGCCGUCAAUUCUUGUGUCAACGUUGCUGAAUUUGGAAUGAAGCACGGAGGAAGCAUCGCUCUUGCUGGUGGAAUCGCUGGAGUUGCAACAGCAAUGCUGGCCACGAAGGCUUGAUGAAAAACCAGAAGUAGAAUAAAAUGUAAAUUUCAUUAACAUAUUUUAUGCUUUUGAUUA